rnacentral:lncRNA from 1 species
ACGCCCCCAAGUGUCUCAGUGCAGUGUAGUUCUGGGACUCCUUUUUGGGUCCAAGGGGCUGCGGUUCUUGUAUUGUUUGGGCCGAGUGUGUAGUGUUGUUCCGGUGUCCCCUUCAAGGCUCGAAAGGCCGUGUGAGAAGCGGACCAGGACGGGCAAAGCUGCGAGUCAAGUGAAGGCGGCUCAGUAUUGCACCACUCCCCCAAAAGAGGAGCACAAAGGAGAAAGGAAUGCACACUCCUUUUCUGUUGAUCUGAUCUGUGGUGAGUAGGAUUAUCUUUUUCUCAUUUAUAAUGUGCUCUGACUUCUUUAUCAGU